rnacentral:rRNA from 1 species
UCGGGAAUUUUGGGCAAUGGGCGAAAGCCUGACCCAGCAACGCCGCGUGAGGGAUGAAGUAUUUCGGUAUGUAAACCUCGAAAGAAUGGGAAGAAUAAAUGACGGUACCAUUUAUAAGCUCCGGCUAACUACGUGCCAGCAGCCGCGGUAAUACGUAGGGAGCAAGCGUUGUUCGGAUUUACUGGGCGGAAAGGGCGCGUAGGCGGCGCGGUAAGUCACUUGUGAAAUCUCUGAGCUUAACUCAGAACGGCCAAGUGAUACUGCUGUGCUAGAGUGCGGAAGAGGCAACCGGAAUUCUUGGUGUAGCGGUGAAAUGCGUAGAUAUCAAGAGGAACACCUGAGGCGAAGGCGGGUUGCUGGGCCGACACUGACGCUGAUGCGCGAAAGCCAGGGGAGCAAACG